rnacentral:ncRNA from 2 species
AUUAAAAUCAAUCUCCGAGCCUUUGGGCCUAACUUCUAAAAGAAAGAACAUGGCCCUCGGCCGUUUCGGGUUUCCUGGGAAAUCAGGGUGCCUCCUCGUGAUUGGAAAGGAGAUAAAAAAUUGGUUUA